rnacentral:rRNA from 1 species
UACGUAGGGGGCAAGCGUUGUCCGGAUUUAUUGGGCGUAAAGAGCGUGUAGGCGGCCAGAUAGGUCAGCUGUGAAAACUCGAGGCUCAACCUCGAGAUGUCGGCUGAAACCAUCUGGCUAGAGUCCGGAAGAGGAGAAUGGAAUUCCCGGUGUAGCGGUGAAAUGCGCAGAUAUCGGGAAGAACACCCGUGGCGAAGGCGGUUCGCUGGGACGGUACUGACGCUGAGACGCGAAAGCGUGGGGAGCGAACAGG